AAUAUAUCGGAACGUGCCCAGUCGUGGGGGAUAACGUAGCGAAAGCUACGCUAAUACCGCAUACGAUCUACGGAUGAAAGCGGGGAUCGCAAGACCUCGCGCGAUUGGAGCGGCCGAUAUCAGAUUAGGUAGUUGGUGAGGUAAAGGCUCACCAAGCCGACGAUCUGUAGCUGGUCUGAGAGGACGACCAGCCACACUGGGACUGAGACACGGCCCCAGACUCCUACGGGAGGCAGCAGUGGGAAUUUUGGACAAUGGGCGCAAGCCUGAUCCAGCAAUGCCGCGUGCAGGAUGAAGGCCUUCGGGUUGUAAACUGCUUUUGUACGGAACGAAACGGUGAGCUCUAAUACAGUUUGCUAAUGACGGUACCGUAAGAAUAAGCACCGGCUAACUACGUG
rnacentral:rRNA from 1 species